rnacentral:rRNA from 1 species
AUAUUGGUCAAUGGCCGGAAGGCUGAACCAGCCAAGCCGCGUGAGGGAAGACGGCCCUACGGGUUGUAAACCUCUUUAGCCGGGGAACAAGGCGCGGGACGCGUCCCGCCGUGAGCGUACCCGGAGAAUAAGCAUCGGCCAACUCCGUGCCAGCAGCCGCGGUAAUACGGAGGAUGCGAGCGUUAUCCGGAUUUAUUGGGUUUAAAGGGUGCGUAGGCGGUUACUUAAGUCAGCGGUCAAAUGGCGGGGCUCAACCCCGGCCUGCCGUUGAAACUGGCGGCCUCGAGUGGGCGAGAAGUAUGCGGAAUGCGUGGUGUAGCGGUGAAAUGCAUAGAUAUCACGCAGAACUCCGAUUGCGAAGGCAGCAUACCGGCGCCCUACUGAUGCUGAGGCACGAAAGCGUGGGUAUCGAACAGG